GGAUCGCCCUUGUAGGUGAACCUGCGGAGGGAUCAUUACAAGUGACCCCGGUCUAACCACCGGGAUGUUCAUAACCCUUUGUUGUCCGACUCUGUUGCCUCCGGGGCGACCCUGCCUUCGGGCGGGGGCUCCGGGUGGACACUUCAAACUCUUGCGUAACUUUGCAGUCUGAGUAAACUUAAUUAAUAAAUUAAAACUUUUAACAACGGAUCUCUUGGUUCUGGCAUCGAUGAAGAACGCAGCGAAAUGCGAUAAGUAAUGUGAAUUGCAGAAUUCAGUGAAUCAUCGAAUCUUUGAACGCACAUUGCGCCCCCUGGUAUUCCGGGGGGCAUGCCUGUUCGAGCGUCAUUUCACCACUCAAGCCUCGCUUGGUAUUGGGCAACGCGGUCCGCCGCGUGCCUCAAAUCGACCGGCUGGGUCUUCUGUCCCCUAAGCGUUGUGGAAACUAUUCGCUAAAGGGUGUUCGGGAGGCUACGCCGUAAAACAACCCCAUUUCUAAGGUUGACCUCGGAUCAGGUAGGGAUACCCGCUGAACUUAAGCAUAUCAAUAAGCGGAGGAAAGGGCGAUCCC
rnacentral:rRNA from 1 species